rnacentral:rRNA from 1 species
CUCAGAUUGAACGCUGGCGGCAGGCCUAACACAUGCAAGUCGAGCGGCAGCACGGGUACUUGUACCUGGUGGCGAGCGGCGGACGGGUGAGUAAUGCCUGGGAAUCUGCCUGGUAGUGGGGGAUAACGCUCGGAAACGGACGCUAAUACCGCAUACGUCCUACGGGAGAAAGCAGGGGACCUUCGGGCCUUGCGCUAU